GGAGAAGUACCCAAGGGGUUAAGGGGGCAGUUUGCUAAACUGUUAGCUCGGGUAACCGGGGCGCGAGUUCGAUCCUCGCCUUCUCCGCCA
rnacentral:tRNA from 1 species